GGGGCUGGUGGAAGGCCUGGCUCUGUGGCAGGGGGAGGAGAACACUCACACAUGCCUGGAGAGAAAAGGUUCCCCGCCUUGAGCUCCUGUCAGCUCUGCUGCUUGCUAUCCAACGAAGCAAGACCAGGGACCUCUCAUGUACUCGGGGCCAAAGUCACAUCACUCAGUUGGUUGGAGAGAGGGUGCAUUUUCUCAAAGGAAAGAAGUAUUCCACGGUCAACUGCACUGCCAAGGGCCCAAGAAUCCUUUCCAUCCACAGCUUUCUGAGGACCUAAAACAGAAUAUUGAAACUGUCAUUAAUCCAUUCUUCUCCAUGGGCCGCUGUUUGUGGUCAGGCCUAUUCCUCAUUCAUGGUAAGUCUCCUAGGAUUUAGUAUUUGUAAAAGCUUCAUAAAACAUCUAUUGAGUCAAAAUGAUCUCCUUCUUAUGGGCCUAAGGAGAGUUGCUCAGCAGCAGAACCCCACUCCCACAUCACCAGCAUGCCUGGCACAGGGCCUGGCUCAUAGACUUCCCAUAAAUAUUUAAUAUAUGGAGUUUCAGCAAUUCUUGAUUGAGAAGAGUAAUCUAUAGUGUUUUCUCUCUCUAAGUAGCCCAGUGCUUGCAAAAAUCUUGCAAGCUGUCUUGGUUAGUCAUCAUUCUUGGUUUUCAAAGUUGAGAAGCAAUUUGCCACAAGUGGAGAUUGACAAGUACUCAGGAAAGGAGAGGAAGCACAGUGGGAAACAAUGGCGGGAGGGGAGAGAGGAGAGAAGGCUGCCAGCCCAUCACCUGAGUUUGCUUUCUGCAGAGAGAAGGCAAACAAGGCAGGACUCUGCUCUCAGGAAAAUCUGUUGGAUCUUUCAGGGUCCAGGGUAAUAUUUUUCCUCCUCUCCCAGUCAGAGUAUAUGAGCAGAAAGCAGGUGCUGGCCAAGGGUGGCAGGGACCACUUAGGUCAUCCCAGGGAGAGCUCGUUAUUCAAAUAUAAGGUUUGAUAAUAUCUCCACAAAUAUGUAUCACCAACACUGGGUGAUUUGCCACUAAAAUAAAAUUUUCAU